rnacentral:ncRNA from 1 species
CUAUGACUAGAAGUCAUGGCGGAAGGAG